AGUGAUCGCUGGCGGCGUGCUUAACACAUGCAAGUCGAGCGAAUUUCAGCAGUGUAUCGCUGAAGUUAGCGGCAGACGGGUGAGUAAUACUUGGGCAAUCUGCCCUUGAGUGGGAAACAACCGGCCGAAAGGCUGGCUAAUGUCCCAUAAGAUCACAGGAUGGCAUCAUCCAGGGGUCAAAGCUCCGUAAGGGGCGCUUGAGGAGGAGCCUGAGGCCUAUCAUGGUAGUUGGUGAGGUAACGGCUCACCAAGCCUUUGACGGGUAGCCGGCCUGAAAGGGUGAUCGGCCACACUGGCACUGAGACACGGGCCAGACUCCUACGGGAGGCAGCAGUGGGGAAUUUUGGACAAUGGGGCAACCCUGAUCCAGCGACGCCGCGUGGGGGAUGAAGGUCUUCGGAUUGUAAACCCCUUUCGGGAGGGAAGAUGGAACGAGCAAUCGUUCGGACGGUACCUCC
rnacentral:rRNA from 1 species